rnacentral:piRNA from 1 species
UACUUAAGAAUCAGGCAGAUUAAU